rnacentral:rRNA from 1 species
ACGUCCACUCCUGCAGGAGGCAGCAGUGGGGAAUAUUGCACAAUGGGCGCAAGCCUGAUGCAGCCAUGCCGCGUGUAUGAAGAAGGCCUUCGGGUUGUAAAGUACUUUCAGCGGGGAGGAAGGCGAUAAGGUUAAUAACCUUGUCGAUUGACGUUACCCGCAGAAGAAGCACCGGCUAACUCCGUGCCAGCAGCCGCGUGAAUACGGAGGGUGCAAGCGUUAAUCGGAAUUACUGGGCGUAAAGCGCACGCAGGCGGUCUGUCAAGUCGGAUGUGAAAUCCCCGGGCUCAACCUGGGAACUGCAUUCGAAACUGGCAGGCUAGAGUCUUGUAGAGGGGGGUAGAAUUCGAGGUGGAGCGGUGAUAUGCGUAGAGAUCUGGAGGAAUACCGGUGGCGAAGGCGGCCCCCUGGACAAAGACUGACGCUCAGGUGCGAAAGCGUGGGGAGCAAACAGGAUUAGAUACCCGGGUAGUCCCAU